UACAGAGGUCCCAAGCGUUGUUCGGAUUCACUGGGCGUAACGGGUGCGUAGGCGGUCGGGUAAGUCUGAUGUGAAAUCUCACAGCUUAACUGUGAAACUGCAUUGGAUACUAUUCGGCUUGAGAGUUGGAGGGGGGACUGGAAUUCUUGGUGUAGCAGUGAAAUGCGUAGAUAUCAAGAGGAACACCAGUGGCGAAGGCGAGUCCCUGGACAGCUUCUGACGCUGAGGCACGAAAGCGAGGGGAGCAAACAGG
rnacentral:rRNA from 1 species